rnacentral:rRNA from 1 species
GGAGGGUGCAAGCGUUAAUCGGAAUUACUGGGCGUAAAGCGCACGCAGGCGGUUUGUUAAGUCAGAUGUGAAAUCCCCGGGCUCAACCUGGGAACUGCAUCUGAUACUGGCAAGCUUGAGUCUCGUAGAGGGGGGUAGAAUUCCAGGUGUAGCGGUGAAAUGCGUAGAGAUCUGGAGGAAUACCGGUGGCGAAGGCGGCCCCCGUGGACGAAGACUGACGCUCAGGUGCGAAAGCGUGGGGAGCAAACAGGGAUUAGAUACCCUGGUAGUCCACGCCGUAAACGAUGUCGACUUGGAGGUUGUGCCCCUUGAGGCGUGGCUACCGGAGCUAACGCGUUAAGUCGACCGCCUGGGGAGUACGGCCGCAAGGUUA